UACAUGGGGUGCAAACGUUGCUCGGAAUUAUUGGGCGUAAAGCGCACGUAGGCGGUUCGUUAAGUCGGAUGUGAAAGCCCUCGGCUCAACUGAGGAAGUGCACCCGAAACUGGCGAGCUUGAGUACGAAAGAGGAUCGCGGAAUUCCCGGUGUAGAGGUGAAAUUCGUAGAUAUCGGGAGGAACACCGGCGGCGAAGGCGGCGAUCUGGGUCGAUACUGACGCUGAGGUGCGAAAGCGCGGGGAGCAAACAGG
rnacentral:rRNA from 1 species